CACUGUGGAUGACCGCAGUGGCUCCAGGUAG
rnacentral:sRNA from 1 species